rnacentral:rRNA from 1 species
UUGGAGGGCAAGUCUGGUGCCAGCAGCCGCGGUAAUUCCAGCUCCAAUAGCGUAUAUUAAAGUUGUUGCAGUUAAAAAGCUCGUAGUUGAAUUUCGGGAUUGACGUGAUGGUCAUGCCUUAAGGGGUAUGAACUGUCACUGUUGAUUUCUCACCUUCUGGAGAAACUUGAUGUCCUUUAUUGGGUGUCUUGCGGAUCCAGGACCUUUACCUUGAAAAAAUUAGAGUGUUUAAAGCAGGCAUUUUUGCUCGAAUACAUUAGCAUGGAAUAAUAGAAUAGGACGGCAUGGUUCUAUUUUGUUGGUUUCUAGGAUCACCGUAAUGAUUAAUAGGGAUAGUUGGGGGCAUUAGUAUUCAAUUGUCAGAGGUGAAAUUCUUGGAUUUAUCGAAGACUAACUACUGCGGAAGCAUUUGCCAAGGAUGUUUUCAUUAAUCAAGAAUGAAAGUUAGGGGAUCGAAGACGAUCAGAUACCGUCGUAGUCUUAACCAUAAACUAUGCCGACUAGGAAUCAGACGAUGUUAAUUUUUUAAUGACUCGUUUGGCACCUUACGGGAAACCAAAGUGUUUGGGUUC